GACGAACGCUGGCGGCGUGCUUAACACAUGCAAGUCGAACGGUAAGGCCCUUCGGGGUACACGAGUGGCGAACGGGUGAGUAACACGUGGGUGAUCUGCCCUGCACUUCGGGAUAAGCCUGGGAAACUGGGCCUAAUACCGGAUAGGACCCUGGGAUGCAUGUCCUGGGGUGGAAAGCUUUUGCGGUGUGGGAUGGGCCCGCGGCCUAUCAGCCUGUUGGUGGGGUGAUGGCUUACCAAGGCGACGACGGGUAGCCGGCCUGGGAGGGUGACCGUGCACACUGCGACUGAGAGACGGCGCAGACUCCUACGGGAGGCAGCAGGGGGGAAUAUUGCACAAUGGGCGCAAGCGUGAGGCAGCGACGCCGCGUGAGGGAUGACGGCCUUCGUGUUGUAAACCUCUUUCAGUAGGGACGAAGCGCAAGUGACGGUACCUACAGAAGAAGGACCGGCCAACUACGUGCCAGCCGCCGCAGUAA
rnacentral:rRNA from 1 species